GGAAAGUCUGGUCUUCGAGUAUCCUGUCUUGGCCUAGGUGAGUUCGAAAGAAGAGGAAUGAAGGGAGGGGGCCUUCGUGGCUUGCCUCCCACCUGACUUCUCUCUUGCAGGCACCUGGGUCACAUUUGGUUCUCAAAUCUCGGAUGAGGUAUCUAUCAGUGAUGGGACCUGGAAGCAGGGCCAGGGGCUGUGAGGGAGCCAGAAAAGAGGGAUGUGGACGUGGAGAGCGGUUUGGACAACAAACAGGGAGAAUGGCGGACCUGAGACUGGGGACGGGGGGCGGGGGGGAGAAUGUGGAGGCCAGGGCUGAGCUGCCAUGGGCGGGAGUGCAGUGAGGGGGGUCCCUGAGGGCCAGUGGUUGGUCUUCAUCUCUUUCUCUCACCUCCUUAGACAGCAGAGGACGUGCUGACAGUAGCCUAUGAGCAUGGUGUAAACCUGUUUGACACGGCUGAAGUGUACGCAGCGGGAAAGUAAGGACUGGGGUGAAAAAGCCAAGUUACCCUUGAAAGGCUAAGAGAACCUCGGGGCUUCUUGUUUUCCCUCUGGGGGACCUUGGGAAUUCUGUAACCGCGAACUUCCAACCUUUCGGCCAAGGGGCCCCCAAAGCACUAUGGGAAUUGUAGUCCCAACAAGUUCAUCUUCAGCUUAGAGGGCGAAGGGCGUCCUGUGCAAUAAAACUGAAAUAAAACCAACACCUAUAUCCUGGGCAUCCGUUAUAUGCAACGAUGUGAGGAUUACAAAGCUGAAUUUUCAAACAUGCCAGGCCACGCGUCACAUACCCAUGGCUUCACGCUGGGAGUAGCUAAACCCUAGAUGAGCUCCCUCACCAACACCCCCCCCCCAUCCCCCUGGCCUCUUCUCCAUCUGGCUAACUCUUCAGCUUAUCUUCAAGACUUGGCCCAAAUGUCAGCUCCUCCGAGAAGCCAUUGUCCAGCUCCCCAAACUGGUCACCACUCACCUCAGGUCCCAAAGCCCUUUAUACUGCCCUCUGAUGCACAAUCUGUCAAUUACUGGUUUAUGUAGCCAUAUUUGCUGCCCAACUGGGAGGCGCCUCCUUCCGUGAAAUUUGUCUUCGUCUUCCUCAUGUCACCUACGUAGCUACGCAGAGCCUAGCACAGAGCAGUCACUGCUUGUGGGAUGACAACACACCCUCCUAAGGCUCACGGUUGACAUGGUUAAACCCAAGACACAGGGAGAUACGCAAGGUUAAAUAACAGGAAAACUAAAGUAAUAGUCCGCCGAGACCAUUUAAGACUUGUCACGUGUUGGUUAGCUCCUAAUUAAGUGCCAAACAAUUGGGUCAAUAAAAGUUAUGGAAAGUGACAAGAAGGGCUGACCGUAGACUGUGGCAAUCAGAGAACACUUUCAAUAAAAUGAAGCGGAAUCCAAGCUGAGCCUUGGACGCUGUGGGGGAUUUUGCAGAGGAUCGAAGAAGGGAGAGGGCAAUGCAGAUGAUUGGAACCAGACCAGAUGAUGCGGUGUCUCCACCCACCCCCCCACUUUACUACUCUGUUCUUCUCUCAUCAUCUUCUUCUAUCCCUGUGGCGCCUGGAACAGAACUUGGUACACAGUUGAUGUACAACUGAUAUUUGUGGUGUGAAUGAAAGCUAAAGGACUAUACCCCUCCUUCUGGGAGCCCCUCUUAUUUUGUCCAGGAUGGUCUGACAGCCUAAUGGGCUCCUGGCUUAUGGUCCACUUUACGAGAGAGGAAAUCCAUUGAAGGGAAAGGUCGGGAGGAGGGGAAGGAACUGACCCACGCUGGCAGGAUCAGUGCUUCUGCGUUGUCUCUCUUCUAGGGCUGAAAGAACCCUAGGCAACAUCCUCAAGAGCAAAGGAUGGAGGUGAGACCGUGUUUUGAGGGGUUGCUGGGGAAAUGAUCAUCCAACAUCCCUUCUCUUGCUUGUCUCUCUUUCGCUUUUUCCAGGAGAUCAAGCUAUGUCGUCACCACCAAGAUUUUUUGGGGAGGACAGUAAGUGGCCGCCACACUCUAUGUGGGGAGAUCUACAGAGAAUGCGUGCAGGUGCAUGGGAGAGGUGUGGGUACGGCUGCCACCCCAGGUCUGCGUCCUGCCCGUGAGGACCCACGCUGUCCCAGUUUCUCAUGGCACCAGGCCAGGCCUGGUUCCCUAUCUUUGUCACACCUCAUCUUUGACUUAUCUUUUUCUGCAGGGCAGAGACCGAGCGAGGCCUGAGCCGCAAACACAUCAUUGAGGGUGAGAGUUAGGGGCUGGGAAUCUGCCGGGGCUGGGUACAGAAGCCAGAGGAGUUGGGAACGUCUUCCGAGACUCUGAGUUGGAGGCUUUGAGUAGGGGAGUGGGGAGCUAGGUGGCCAUGGCAAGGGGGUAAUGUCUAAAUCCUUCGGGGAAACUGAGGCUGAAGUGCUUACCUUCCUCUCCCCACCCCUUCCCCAGGCCUGCAAGGAUCCCUGGAGCGCCUCCAGUUGGGAUACGUGGACAUCGUCUUUGCCAACCGCUCAGACCCCAAUAGUCCCAUGGAGGGUAAAACCAGCACCCCAGCCCUGACGAUCCCCCAAAGCAGCACUUCCUCAAACUCUCAGCAGGAAGCCAGCCCCUGCUCAGGAGGCCUCCCAAUCUGCACAGUGGAGGCUCAGACCCCAGGUCUUAGAUGGGGAGGGAGGUGAAGUGCAGUUACCAACCUCUCUGAUUACACAGAGACGCCUGGGGUCUCGGUGGGGUAGGCAGAGGGCUACAGAUACGGAGUCCUGGAUGCCAGGGGUCUGACAGUGAGAUGCCCUCUCUCCCGUGUGCCUAGAGAUCGUGCGGGCCAUGACCUAUGUCAUUGACCAGGGCCUUGCCCUGUACUGGGGGACAUCCCGAUGGGGAGCUGCAGAAAUCAUGGUGAGCAUGCCGCCCCGCUUACCCCCUCCCCCCCGUCCCACGACUGGUUCCCACCUUUCACGCGGCUGCUCCAAACCCCACUGCACCGGGGGAGGGGGAGUGGAAACCCAGGGAAAAGGGUGCUCUGAUCUCCAUCUCUUCCCCACCCCAACCCAGGAGGCCUACUCCAUGGCCAGACAGUUCAAUCUGAUCCCUCCAGUGUGUGAGCAAGCGGAGCACCGUCUGUUUCAGAGAGAGAAGGUGCAGCUGCAACUGCCAGAGCUCUACCACAAGAUCGGUUCGCAGCCCCCCAUCCCUGCCUGUCCCUUGGCCUAACCGUCACCUAGAUCCCUUUCCCCACAUCCAGUCCUCUUCCUCCUAGGUGUUGGCUCAGUCACCUUGUCCCCUUUGGCCUGUGGCCUCAUCACGAGCAAGUAUGAUGGGCGAGUCCCAGAUACCUGCAGGGCCAUCAAGGUGAGAUCUGGGGGCUCAGGACGGCAGGACUGGGCUAUCUGGGCCGCUCUGGAUGGUGGGGGAGUGGCCUUUUGCCCAUUGUCCCUGGCCCCCAGGGCUACCAGUGGCUCAAGGACAAAGCGCAGAGUGAGGACGGCAAGAAGCGACAAGCCAAAGUCAUGGACCUUCUUCCCAUCGCCCACCAGCUGGGCUGCACUGUGGCACAGCUUGCUAUCGGUGAGACACUGCCAGCCCUGGACCCCGCCGGGCCUCACCUCCUGCCGGGAAACCCCCAAACCCAAGACUGGUUUGUCCCUAAGGAGGACCCUCUUCCCCCAGAGACACUUCUGAGGUGUGUACGCCCGCUGUUCUCCAUCAGUUCUCUUUCUUAUCUCCUCUGGCCCCAGCGUGGUGUCUCCGCAGCGAGGGUGUCAGCUCGGUCUUGCUGGGGGUGUCAAGUGCAGAGCAGCUGAUAGAACACCUGGGAGCCAUACAGGUGAGCCGGGGACUCAGAGGCGGAGCCCAUCUCUGUCCCCUUCCCCAACAGUCAGGGCCUCGCUGUCCAACCCGUUAUGGACCUGGGAGCUCAACCACUACAGAGGCCCCACUUUGCAGAGGAGAGGCCCCAUAGGGACACAGGGCGAGGCAGGGGCGCGGCUGAGACUCUCUUCUCGCCACCUGGCCCCGCUGUGCUGCUCCUCUGGCCCUCGAACCGAACCGUACGCCCUUCAGCGCCCUCUCCACCACUGCCUCCCUACAGGUGCUGAGCCAGCUGACGCCGCAGACGGUGACGGAGAUAGACGGGCUUCUGGGGAACAAACCG
rnacentral:lncRNA from 1 species